rnacentral:rRNA from 1 species
UACAGAGGGUGCGAGCGUUAAUCGGAAUUACUGGGCGUAAAGCGUGCGUAGAUGGUUAUGCAAGUCGGAUGUGAAAGCCCCGGGCUCAACCUGGGAAUUGCAUUCGAGACUGCAUAGCUAGGAUGCGGAAGAGGGAAGCGGAAUUUCCGGUGUAGCGGUGAAAUGCGUAGAUAUCGGAAGGAACACCAGUGGCGAAAGCGGCUUCCUGGUCCAGCAUCGACGUUCAGGCACGAAAGCGUGGGGAGCAAGCAGG